UGAACGCUGGCGGCGUGCCUAAUACAUGCAAGUCGAGCGAACAGAUAAGGAGCUUGCUCCUUUGACGUUAGCGGCGGACGGGUGAGUAACACGUGGAUAACCUACCUAUAAGACUGGGAUAACUUCGGGAAACCGGAGCUAAUACCGGAUAACAUAUUGAACCGCAUGGUUCAAUAGUGAAAGGCGGCUUUGCUGUCACUUAUAGAUGGAUCCGCGCCGUAUUAGCUAGUUGGUAAGGUAACGGCUUACCAAGGCAACGAUACGUAGCCGACCUGAGAGGGUGAUCGGCCACACUGGAACUGAGACACGGUCCAGACUCCUACGGGAGGCAGCAGUAGGGAAUCUUCCGCAAUGGGCGAAAGCCUGACGGAGCAACGCCGCGUGAGUGAUGAAGGUCUUCGGAUCGUAAAACUCUGUUAUCAGGGAAGAACAAAUGUGUAAGUAACUGUGCACAUCUUGACGGUACCUGAUCAGAAAGCCACGGCUAACUACGUG
rnacentral:rRNA from 1 species